UACGGGGGGGGCAAGCGUUGUUCGGAAUUACUGGGCGUAAAGGGCGCGUAGGUGGUUUGUUGCGUCGGCUGUGAAAUCCCGAGGCUCAACCUCGGGUCUGCAGUCGAUACGAGCAAACUAGAGUGUUGCAGGGGAGACUGGAAUUCCUGGUGUAGCGGUGAAAUGCGCAGAUAUCAGGAGGAACACCGGUGGCGAAGGCGGGUCUCUGGGCAACAACUGACGCUGAGGAGCGAAAGCGUGGGGAGCGAACAGG
rnacentral:rRNA from 1 species